UGUGGGCAAGUUAUUAAGGGCACAUGGUGGAUGCCUUGGCAUCGAGAGCCGAUGAAGGACGUGGGAGCCUGCGAAAUGCCCUGGGGAGUUGGCAACCGAGCGUUGAUCCGGGGAUGUCCGAAUGGGGAAACCCAGCUGGAGUUAUGUCCAGUUACCUGCACCUGAAUGAAAUAGGGUGUGUGGAGGGAACGUGGGGAAGUGAAACAUCUCAGUACCCACAGGAAGAGAAAACAACCGUGAUUCCGAGAGUAGUGGCGAGCGAAAUCGGAUGAGGCUAAACCUACUUCGUGUGAUACCCGGCAGGGGUUGCGGAGUGGGGGUCGUGGGAGUGUCGUUGCUGCAUCUGCCGGUGUGGCGCACAGUCAGAAACCGUAUGUGAGGUCGAAGUCCGUUGGAAAGCGGUGCCGGAGCGGGUGAUAGCCCCGUAGACGACAAUGUGCGGCUGUGUUCGACACCUCCCAAGUAACACGCCACUCCUGGAAUGGUGUGUGAAUCUGGCGGGACCACCCGUUAAGCCUAAAUACUCCUCGAUGACCGAUAGCGGACCAGUACCGUGAGGGAAAGGUGAAAAGUACCCCUGGCGGGGAGUGAAAUAGUACCUGAAACCAUGUGCCUACAAUCCGUUGGAGCUCACCUUGUGUGGGUGACAGCGUGCCUUUUGAAGAAUGAGCCUGCGAGUUUGCGUUGUGUGGCGAGGUUAACCCGUGUGGGGAAGCCGUAGCGAAAGCGAGUCCUAAUAGGGCGGUUGAGUCGCACGAUCAAGACCCGAAGCGGAGUGAUCUAUCCAUGGGCAGGUUGAAGCGCCGGUAAGACGGCGUGGAGGACCGAACCCACUUCAGUUGAAAAUGGAGGGGAUGACCUGUGGAUAGGGGUGAAAGGCCAAUCAAACUCCGUGAUAGCUGGUUCU
rnacentral:rRNA from 1 species